rnacentral:rRNA from 1 species
AGCAGCCGCGGUAAUUCCAGCUCCAAUAGCGUAUAUUAAAGUUGUUGCAGUUAAAAAGCUCGUAGUUGAAUUUCGGGAUUAGUACGUUGGUCGUGCCUUGGUACGUACUGGUAUAACUGAUUCCUCCCUUCUGACGAACCGUUAUGCCAUUAAUUUGGUGUGGCGGGAAAUCAGGACUGUUACUUUGAAAAAUUAGAGUGUUUAAAGCAGGCUCGCGCUUGAAUACAUUAGCAUGGAAUAAUGAAAUAGGACGUUAAUCCUAUUUUGUUGGUUUCUAGGAUCGACGUAAUGAUUAAUAGGGAUAGUUGGGGGCAUUAGUAUUCAAUUGUCAGAGGUGAAAUUCUUGGAUUUAUUGAAGACUAACUACUGCGAAAGCAUUUGCCAAGGAUGUUUCAUUAAUCAAGAACGAAGUUAGGGAUCGAAGACGAUCAGAUA